ensembl:snoRNA SNORD35B small nucleolar RNA, C/D box 35B
GGCAGGUGAUGUGCAUUUUCACGAUGGUCUUCAGAUGCCCAACUAGGGCACUGCUGAGAAACCACUUGGUAAAACUGAUGCCAGAAA